rnacentral:rRNA from 1 species
ACGAACCUUGUGUUCGUGGCGAACGGCUCAGUAACACGUGGAUAACCUGCCCUUGGGACCGGGAUAACCCCGGGAAACUGGGGAUAAACCUGGAUAGGUGAUGCUGCCUGGAAUGGUUCUUCACCGAAACACCUUCGGGUGCCCAAGGAUGGGUCUGCGGCCGAUUAGGUUGUUGGUAGGGUAACGGCCUACCAAGCCGAUCAUCGGUACGGGUUGUGAGAGCAAGAGCCCGGAGAUGGAACCUGAGACAAGGUUCCAGGCUCUACGGGGCGCAGCAGGCGCGAAACCUCCGCAAUGCACGCAAGUGCGACGGGGGAACCCCAAGUGCCACUCUUAACGGGGUGGCUUUUCAGAAGUGUAAAAAGCUUCUGGAAUAAGGGCUGGGCAAGACCGGUGCCAGCCGCCGCGGUAACACCGGCAGCUCAAGUGGUAGCCGCUUUUAUUGGGCCUAAAGCGUCCGUAGCCGGUCUGAUAAGUCUCUGGUGAAAUCCCACAGCUUAACUGUGGGAAUUGCUGGAGAUACUAUCAUGACUCGAGGUCGGGAGAGGCUGGAGGUACUCCCAGGGUAGGGGUGAAAUCCUGUAAUCCUGGGAGGACCACCUGUGGCGA